rnacentral:lncRNA from 1 species
GUAUAAGUUGUACUAUUAUUUUAACUUAACCCAAGUUGUUGGAUUUGUAGUUAGUUGACCAUAGUUAGGAAGUCAAUUAUGUUACUGUAUAUCACCAACUUUUUUUAUCUCUAUAUUGAGUGGAGUUCCUUUUUGAUAUGAAAGUGAGUUGAGCUCCCAAUUCUCUCUCUCUCCUUAUAUAUAUAUAUAUAUAUAUAUAUAUAUAUACACAGUUGUUUUCUUCUUUUCAUCAGCUUAACAUAGUAUCAAAGCAGUAAUUGAAAGGAUCUAGGAAUUUUGCUUCUGAUAGUUGGUAAGGAAAUCGAGAGAUUCUUCUUCGAAGCUCACAUAAUUUCUUCGUCAAAUUGUCAAAUUGAAAACCUAAUUUAGAGAGAUGGUGAAUUCCGACGCCGGAACUUUAAUUUCAAGCACGGUCGAUCACAACCACUCACUUUACCUUUAGCCAUCAGAUUCGCCAUGUUUAAUUCAAACCGAAAUUGUCCUUACAGGUAUGGAAAAUUAUAGUGUUUUGGAUGAUGCAAAUUGCGGCAAUUAGUAAGAAAGAAGAGAAAAGAAUCUAAGAAGAAAUAUUAGGGUAAAAUUAAGAUGUAAUCAAUUGUAUAUUGAUCUGCAGCUCUAGAAACAUUAUAUAUAGGUUCCACUACCACUACAAGACAAAAAUCCUAUAUCCUUAUCUGACAGGGACUAUAUGUGCUCAUAGAAAUAAAAUCUUGGGACCUAAUUAUAAUUAACUAAACUCCCUUUAAGAAACUUAGAGGGACUAAACUGUCCACUAAAUAACUUAUAUUAUAUCCGCCUAUAACUGCUUCUAACGGUUAGGUACCACUUUCAAAGUUACAUUUACAAGUCAUGCAAGAUGUAGCUAAUCCUCUUUUGCAUUAUUUCCCCUUCCUUAAAAACUUCAUUGUCCUUAAGGAAGAAAAGUUGGGAAAUGAGUUCUCAAGACUGAAUAGUCUUUCCAUGUAGCCCAUUGAACUAAAACAUGUGCCACUACCUUGUUGCCCUUCUGGAUCAUACGUCUCUCUAAAAUUUUCUGUGGUUGUGGGCAGUAAGAACUUGAUAAAUCGACUAUAGAAGGAUGUGAGGUUGCUUUUGGUAGCUCAUAGCAUUUCUUAAGCUGAGAUAAAGUUGGAUGUAGCAGUAGUUGGGAAUGAAGGGAUAGCUUGUAUGCAACAUUCCCUAUCUUUUGUAGUACCUGAUAAGGCCCAUAAUAUUUGGCUGAGAGCUUAGAAAAGUGUCCUUCUGACAUGGUGAAUUGCCUAUAGGGCUGAAUUUUUACAUACACCCAAUCCCCCUAUUCGAACUGCCUGUCAGGCCUGUGUUUGUUUGCUUGAUUUUCCAUCCUCUGCUGAGCCUUUUUUAAGUGAUACUUGAGAAGUUGCACCUUGAACUCUCUAGUUAACAAACUCCUAUCAAAAUCUUCAGUAGCAUAAGGUAAGUGCAGGGGUGGAGGCUGACCAUAUAGAGCUUCAUAAGAGGUGCAUUGAAUGGCCGAAUGGAAGGUGGUAUUGUACCACCACUCAGCUGCCCCCAGGUAAUGCAUCCAAUCCUUUUGAGAGUCGUAGCAGAAACAUCUCAAGUAAGUCUCUACACAUAUCUUAACUACAUCAAUCUGGCCAUCUUUCUGGGGGUGGUAAGUUGUGGAAGUGUUAGGGCUUACUCCUAGCAUAGCAAAUAAAUCCUGCCAUAAUUUGCUUGUAAAAAUAGGAUCCCUAUCACUGAAAAUAUCCUCGGGUAAUCCAUGUAGUUUAUAGACUUGCUCCAUAAAAAUCUUGGCCAACUCAUUGGCAGAAUAAGGAUGAGACGAUCCAGUGAAAUGAGCAUACUUUGUAAGCCUGUCUACUAUUACCCAAAUAACUGAUUUUCCUUGAGACUUAGAUAACCCUUCUAUGAAAUCCAUACUUAUGUUGCUCCAGGCUAAAACAUGUAUUUUCAAGGGCUGCAAUAACCCUGGGUAAGGAGCAUUGUCAUAUUUAUGCCUUUGACAUGCAUCACAACCCCUUACAAGUUCUUGAAUAUCCUCUUUUAAUCCCUUCAAUAAAAUAGAGAGGACACCCUCCUAUAAGUGUUGUCCAUACCUGAAUGUCCUCCUAUAGUAGAGUUGUGCCACAAUAGUAAGAUUUCCUUCCUCAAUGGUAGGUCAGGUCCUACCACCAGCUUGACAUGCUUCCUAAGUUGUCCAUAUAUGAAGGUAUACCCCUUUUCAUGAGUCCCUCCUUCCUUGAGGACCUGAAUUGUGGACUUCAGAUCCUCAUCUAGCUCCCAGCUCCUCAUAAUGGCCUCUAAUAGAUCAGUUCUCACAGUUGAGAGGGUCAUGGCUGACAAUUCCACCAAAGGAAGUUUGGAAAGUGCAGCUGCAACCUUGUUUUCUUUUCCCUUUUUGUAUUCAAUCUCAAAGUCAUAUUGCAUCAACUUGGUUAUCCAUUUUAACUGAUUGCCUGUGUGAAACUUCUGUUCCAGCAGGAACUUAAGAGCCUUUUGGUCUGUUUUAACAAUGAAAGGCUUCAGUGUCAGGUACUGAGACCACUUGUUAACUGCCAUGACUAAAGCUAGCAACUCCUUAUCAUAAACUGAUAGGGAUUGAUGUUGGUUAGCUAGGCCUUUACUUAGGUAGGCAAUGGGUUGACCUUGUUACAUCAAUACAGCUCCAAUUCUAACAUUACAUGCAUCAGUUUCAACUAUAAAAUGUCAAGGAGAAGUCAGGCAAAGCUAAUACAUGUGCUGUAGUGAGGGCCAAUUUCAUCUUAUCAAAGGCUUCUUCUGGUUUCUUGGUCCGGUUGAAUCCAUCUUUUCUGAGAAGAUCAAUAAGGGCCUUGCUAAUGACCCCAUUCUGAGCACGUGAUUUUGAUUUAUGAAAAAAUUACUCCAAAAGAAAUCAAAAAAAUAAAAUAAAUUCCUUCGGUUUACAAUUUUUAGAAUUUGUGUGGAAUUUUAGAUAAUUAUUCUGAGAAUGUUUAUCUUGCUUAAUUAAUAAAAAUACAAAAAAUAAGUGUUUGCGUGCGCACUAAAAUUUAAUUGUCUCUUUAGGAAUUAAUUAAAUCAUAAUUUGGUUUUAAAAGUUAAAAUUACAAAAAAUACGCAAUUUUAUUCUAUUAGUUGUCAUUAUGUGAGUUUAUUUUAAUUAAAUAUUUUAAUUCGUGUAUUAAUUGUUGUUAGGUAUUAAUUAAUAUUUGUGUAGUUUUAUUUUGGAUUUUACAAAUUCAUUAGAAUUUUUGUUAUUAGAGAUUAAAUGAAGAAAAUGAAAAGAGUUGAAAAAUAAGAAGGCAAAACGGAUUUGGGAAAAAUUUUAGACCAAAACGGCAGGCCCAAACAUUUAAAUGACCCAGUCCAAUACACUUGGUCUCUCAGAAGUCCAAACGACGUCGUUUCGAUGCCUCAAAUCAGAGUCGUUGAUUCAUUUCACUCACACAGUCCAACUCAGGCCCAAUGACCAGCCAAACGAUGCCGUUUAGAUCAAUUGAUCUCAGCCAGCCAUUUAUCUUGAUCCAACGGCUCCAUUCUCACCUUUUAACCCGUAUCACCAGACCCGACCCAUUACCAACUUUUAACCCAGUCUUCUAAUGAAACCAAACGCCCCAUUUUAAUUAAUGAAAUAAUCUAGGACGUCGAUAUCAUUUGAUCGAACGGCCAAGAUCAAGCCAACCCCCUAACUAUAUAUAUCCUAACAUUACCUCGCACCCUUCAGACCCCUCCCCCAUCUCCUCAUAUCUCUCAAACCUCAUCUCUUCAGAGAUGAGGAACCCUAGCCGCCAUGGCUCUCCCACACCAGAAACCCAGCGGCCUGAACUCCGAUGGCUACCAAAGUUACACCCCUGAGCCUCCUGACAACCCUCAUCACGAAUCCAGGCUCCGUUUGCUUCGAUUCUCAACGGAGCGUUUCGAAUAUCAGAUCAAAGAACCAGCCUAAAACCUUACCUCUUCUGAUGGCUUCCAAACUCAUACCCCAACACCCUGACCUCCCUCAUACCCCAAGUGACCUUGGUUCCGUUUGAAUCUGCCCGACGAUAUUCGAAUCCCAAAUCGAACUAGAAAGCCCUAACGAGACAAAACCUUGGUUUUGUCCGAGAUUGAGGAGAAUUUGGGGUUACUAAUCAACCUUAGUCGAGUGUUCUCAGUCGAGAACACUCGAUUAAGGUCCAUCUGACCCCAAAAGUUCGAAUUAGAGUUCAAGCCGAGUCAUCCGUUCAUUCUUUCUUUGAGUUAUUUUUUCGUUUGUUCUAUUUUGUUAUUUGCUAUUUGUUAUUUGUUUAAAUCAUUGUAUUAAUUUUCUGUUCAUUAAUUCUUCCUCCUCCUUCGUACCUUUUUAUGGUCCAGUUUUUCCCUGUAAAUUAGUAUAUGUUAUAGUAUGUUGAGUGCUUUGAAUUAGUCAGUGUCAAUAAGUUCUAAAACAAAACUCUGAUUAAUCCCCUAACUGUUGACUAUUACUCUGUUCGAAUUGUUUCAUCUAUAUUGUCUAUCAUUUUGUCGCCUAGGGAUUCAGUGUAUUUACAAUGUUUACUUGUCAUUUCUUUUUUUAAUUUAGGAAUUAUUAGUUCAUGUCCAUGUAUCCAUAAACUUGGUAGGUCAAUAGGAUUUUAUCACGCUUUAAUUGUCUUUGUUUUAGAGCUAUUUGAUUCAAUUUAAGUUCAAACUUUAACUGAUAUUUGAGCUUAAUGAGGUAAAUUAUGAUCUUCUGUUUUCCUUAGUUGUUCUAGCGAUUGGUUAGGAUUAACUUGGAUUCUCUUAUUAUUAAGGUUUGGUUAUAGUUGUAAAUUAGAGAUUAGUUCUAAAUAAUUAAAGGCUUGGUUCUGUUUGCUGAAAUUCUGAAUAAGAGCAGUAAUAGUAAGAUGCAAUGGUGUUUUAGGAAUAGACAAAAUAGAAAUCUGGUUUGACUAAGUUAGUCUAACCAGUGGGGCCCCUAAUAACUUUAAUUUGAAUUAAUUAGUAGGGGGGCCAUUGAAAAUGAUGAGUGUUGGCUGCUUUUUCUUAAUUGAAAUUAGGAAUACUGUAUAUAAUGAUAAAAGGGGCAUAUAAGAGCAUAUUUGGGGGGGGGGGGCUGUUUAUUAAAGUAUGUGUUAAGUGGAAGAGUAAUGAUGGAAGUGUUGUAAUAAUAAUUAAAGGGGGAAUGGGAAGGGNNNNNNNNNNNNNNNNNNNNNNNNNNNNNNNNNNNNNNNNNNNNNNNNNNNNNNNNNNNNNNNNNNNNNNNNNNNNNNNNNNNNNNNNNNNNNNNNNNNNNNNNNNNNNNNNNNNNNNNNNNNNNNNNNNNNNNNNNNNNNNNNNNNNNNNNNNNNNNNGGGGGGGGGGGGGCUGUUUAUUAAAGUAUGUGUUAAGUGGAAGAGUAAUGAUGGAAGUGUUGUAAUAAUAAUUAAAGGGGUAAUGGGAAGGGUAAUGAUAAAGGUUUGUAGUAAUUACUAAAGGGUAAGGGGAGAGGGUAUGGAUUUUGAAUAAAUAAGGGUCAUUUAGACAAGUUUAGGGGAGGGGAAAGAACUUGAGAUUUUGAGAGAACAAAGACUGAAAAAAUCUGAAAUAGAGAAAAAAAAGAGUUGAGUUCACCUGAAGUACACUUGUUUGACUUAGAGAAGUUUGGGGUCUAAUUAAGUUAGUAUUGAUUGAGGUUUGGUCUGCUGGAAUGGUUAAAUUCAUUGCUGGUAUUAUUUGUUGUUGUUGUUGUGCUGGUUUACAAACUGUUCUGGACUUUGGUCGAGUGUAUUUCUGGUCUUAAAAUUGGGUUCUGAGUUGUUCUAGAUUCCAUUUUGUGCUAUUGGGUUUUUCUAAGUUGUUCCAUUGAGAUAUUGUAAUAUUGUUGGGAUUACUGUUAUUACUUAUCUGCUGCUGCUGACUUACUCUUUUUCUUCCAUUGUAAACAUUUCCAGGUACACACUUCUGAAACCAUAUGUUGAUAUAAGUUUGAAUUUGAACUGAAUUUGAAAUGAAUAGAGAAAUGUUUAGUGGCUUACUUCAUAGUAUCUAUUUUCAAGAUGCAACAGUAGGAUGAAUGAUAGGAAGUUCCUUUUUGUUUAUGCUCAUUCCAAUUGUAUUUACUUUGUAUAAAUUGGAACUCGAACUAAUGUGUACUGUUAAAUGGUAUGUUGUUAGAUUAAUUAGAUGUGUUUCCAUAUGUUUAGCAAUUUUCAUUUUUAGUUUGCAUAGUGGUAUAUUAAGAUAGUUGUUAAGAACUUGUGGCUGCCAUCCAAUAGCUAUUACUUAGAAAUUAACAAGUUUUGUUAACAAUCUUAGUAUACUUUAGUUUGUGGGUUACUAAUGAAGUAAAGUAGGGUAUGAUAAUCGUUAAUUGAUGAAAGUUUUCCCCUAUCCAAUUGAAAAGGAAGAACGUUUAAUAA